AAGGACGAGACUGGCGAGGCCACCUCCAAGGCGAUGGUGGACAUCUUCAACACCGGUUCUCCUGAGGUCAUCUUGAGUGACCGAGGUCAUGAACGCUGGAACAAGGUUUGGUGAAUCGACCAACCAGACCCUCAAGAUUGCCAUGGAAGCCCCUUGUUGGUACAAGGAAGGGUUGGAGAACAACCUGAAGGUUGGGAGCUGCAGCUGUUGACUGAGAUCACUGAAACCCCACCUGAUGUGGUGGAAGUCGUCGAACCAGAUCAGAACGCCUUCGAGGACCACCUCCAGGCAUGGACUGAGAAGGAUGUGGAGGUUUUUGACCAGGUGAAACUGAACAUGGACAAGGCGCAGGAGAAACAGAAUGAGAGCUACCGUAGCAGAGUCAUUAAGGAGAUCAAGUGCUAUGACAUACCGGCAAAUUACUUGGUUUGGAAGAAGGAUGAAAGGAAUGCGAGACCUGGGAAACCUCGCUGCUCUUUCGCUCCUAGCUGGGGUCACCAUCUAUUAAAGUGAAUAUAAAAAAUGAUUUGCACACAAAAUUACCUGAAGCUAGUAUUAGUUUCCCUAACACUAAUAUUUUGAUCUUUGUCUUCCUAUGCUUACCUCGGUGGUGAAAGCCAACAAUCUUCUACAGUUGGAGCAGUUGGACGGUCGACCACUGAAAGCACUGACACCCUACACUUCAGUGAAGCCCAAUAGAAAAAGACCAUCGACUGUCUGAGCCCCCCAGGAGGUAUCCCAUCCACCAGAACCAGGGAGUUCAGAUCAGUCUGAUUCUCUGUGCUCUGAGUCGGAGGGGAACCAGUUUGAGAGCUAGGGGUUCUGCCCAACACCCAGACGUGGAUCCACCUGAUGUCCUCCAUUACCAACCACCUUUCAUUACAUCAUCUACAGCUACUGUUGUUGUCAUUAUCUGCUAAGAAAGUUGUUUUGCUCUAUCAUACUGGGCACAUAAUAUGUGAGAUACACAGAUUAACUAAAAACACUAGUCCUGCAAACACUCAGAACAAAGCGAGCAGCAGGGCCUGGACUUUGCAGUCUCCCUCUUCAAGUCCCCCUUCCGAGACUGGCUGCCUGUUGAGAACAAGUGACAGGCAGAACCUCCCACCCACACAGCAACCACCUCAUCUAUUUUCCACACACCAGAAUGCAGUAUUUUAGUCUAUGAUUGCCAUGCGAGUGUACAAAAAAAUCUGUGAAAAUAAAUG